rnacentral:rRNA from 1 species
AACGCGAAGAACCUUACCUGGUCUUGACAUCCACGGAAGUUUUCAGAGAUGAGAAUGUGCCUUCGGGAACCGUGAGACAGGUGCUGCAUGGCUGUCGUCAGCUCGUAUUGUGAAAUGUUGGGUUAAGUCCCGCAACGAGCGCAACCCUUAUCCUUUGUUGCCAGCGGUCCAGCCGGGAACUCAAAGGAGACUGCCAGUGAUAAACUGGAGGAAGGUGGGGAUGACGUCAAGUCAUCAUGGCCCUUACGACCAGGGCUACACACGUGCUACAAUGGCGCAUACAAAGAGAAGCGACCUCGCGAGAGCAAGCGGACCUCAUAAAGUGCGUCGUAGUCCGGAUUGGAGUCUGCAACUCGACUCCAUGAAGUCGGAAUCGCUAGUAAUCGUGGAUCAGAAUGCCACGGUGAAUACGUUCCCGGGUCUUGUACACACGC